rnacentral:piRNA from 1 species
UUGUCUAAGAUCAAAUGACUAUAGAUGUGU